AGCUCCAAUAGCGUAUAUUAAAGUUGUUGCAGUUAAAAGCUCGUAGUCGGAUUUCUGGCUCGGAAGGGCGGUCCGUUCGGCUCAGUCGAAUGUGAACCAGCUCCUUCCGGCCAUCCUCGUGGAGAGCUGUAUCUUCCCUCUGGGAGUGAUGCAUGCAAUCCACGUCAUUUACUGUGAACAAAUUAGAGUGUUCAAAGCAGGCUUACGCCACUGAAUACAUUAGCAUGGAAUAAUACUAUAGGACUUUGGUGAUUCUAUUGUUGGUUACGCGCCAGGGUAAUGAUUAAUAGGGAUAGUUGGGGGUAUUCGUAUUCAAUUGUCAGAGGUGAAAUUCUUGGAUUUAUGGAAGACGAACAACUGCGAAAGCAUUUACCAAGGAUGUUUUCA
rnacentral:rRNA from 1 species